ensembl:lncRNA
AGAAGACAGCGCGCUAGCGUAUCUAGUCUAUGUAUAUCUAUGGUCGGCACGUCUGGUAGCAUCUCUGGCUGCUGUUGACCUUGUUUUUGGAGUAAAACACGGUGGAAGCUGAAUUAGUGAGGAUGACUCCUGCUCCUGUCAUCUCUAAGCUCCUCACACAUCUUUACCUGCACAUGAGGAAAAUCACUCCUGUAGAAUGCAGAUGUUCAGAGGGAGAUGAUGCCACAUCUGGUCCAGCUGAUGGAAGGUCUUGAAGUUCUCUGACUGGCCUCGACUGAAGAUGGUCGUCUCACUGGAUUUAAGGUUCAGAUGCUCAGUAACAAACUCCACCAAUGAGCCAACAGGGAAGCUUGAGGUUUAUUAAAUGUUGCUAUGAAGGUAUCGCUGUUUUUCUUAGUGAAUGCAAUGUGCUCCAACUGAAACUUGAAUUAGAACUUAGAAGUAAAUCCUUCCAUCUGACAGGAUUUAGUUGCAUUAAUAACCUCAUAACAUUCUAAUUUUUAUUCCAGUCUUGGUUGAAAAUAGAAUCUCUGUAUUGAUUCAGGUAAAAACUGAACUUCACAGCAUGUUGGAGCAAAACAACCAGAUGAAAACUGUGAUGGUGUUGGAUUGUCAGACCGUAAUGUUGCAGCUCAAAGCAGCUUUUCUAUCUCAGUUCAUUCUGACAUUCAGCUAUGAAUCAACACAGCAGAUGGUGAUCCAUGCUGUGGAAGUCUCACAUCUCCUGAUUUAAUGGAGCUGCUUUGCACUUUUUACACUGUUUAUUCACCAACACUUUAUUUAAUAAAAGUCCCAUCUAGUUUUUAUGAGGAAUGUGAUGUUUUAAUUUCUCUGUGAAUAACUGCAGUCUAAUGCAACAGCUGGAGUUGUAACAUCUGUCCUGAUAUUGAUCAUGAAGUAUUGAUCAGAAUACUUAUGAUUAGCAGUCAUCCCUGAAGUUUUACAUUAAAAUCUUUACUUGUGUUGUGAACUUUGGUAAGAAGCAGAAACUUUAGCGUUGCCAUGGAUACAUGAGUGUUAAAUUCUGUCCAUGUUUCCAUUUUGGGAAAUUCAGUCCAGUUCCAGAAUGUGGAGGAAUUUAGUCUCAAUCACAGUCAACAAAUAUUAUCUGAAAGUCGGGUUAUUGUUGUUUAUCAGCACAAUAGAAAAAAGAUUAAUGUUAGAAAUAUUCCAGUUAAGACUCUAGAAUAUCAUGAUUUAUGUAAAUUUACCUCAAUAAUAUGAAUGUUCAGUUUGAUUGUGCAGUGAUUUUUAUUCUGUAAGUUCAGCUGAUUAAAGUUUGACUCUGCACUACAAUAUUAUUUAUUAUUUAAAUUUACAUCAUUAUUAUAAUAUUUAGGGUCAGACCCUACAGUAUUGAGAUUAAGAAAUCAAAUAUUCUAUAAAAUGUAAAUAUACUGAACUCAUUUGGAUAUAUUUAAGUGAGACUCUACAAUAUUAUUUGACACAAAUGUAUCUAAAUCAAAAUUUUAAUAAUUUUCAUGCCAAACAUUUACUGGACUGAUUUAAAUAUUAAAAUCACUCCUUUCUAAUCCUCUGCUGUACGUUCAAACCUGAGGCCUUAAAUAGAAACACACAAGUAUCUGAUUGAAGGAACUUCUGCAGAGUCCUGGUUCCAGAACAUGAUGAUAGAAUUAUAGACAAACUUUAACAAAAGCUGCCUGAGAGUUUACAGGUUUUUAUGUUGGAUUUCUUCAGUAAUUUAAUGAGAUUUAUCAGCAAAAAUCAAGUGUUCAUUUGAUGAACUUCAUUUCCUAAAACAUCCAGAAUUGGAGCUCAUAUCUUUGGCAGUUGUAAAGUUUCUGCUCCUUCAAAGUUCACAACACAAUAAAUGAAUUCCUAAAACACUCUCAAUGCUGGAGAGUGUUUGAUGCUGAAGCAGUGAUCAGUUUUUCUGUUUCUUCUCUGGAGAUGCACAAUGAGGGACGUCUGCAGUGACUGAGAAAGAGUCUCACCACAUCCUGACAUGAGGAAAAAGACUUUAUUGAAGACUACAAUGAGAAAAACUAUCAGACAGCAGACGGCUGCAUUCAAGUCUGUAGCUGCUGAAUUCAUGGAUGAAUCAUCUGGCACUAGAGAGGAAGACCAUCAAAUAUCCACGUCAGCUGAUGGAGGUCCAAGAGUCUCACCCAACAACCAACCUACAGAGUGAAGACCUUGAAUCUGAUUGGACGGCCUCCUAUUCAGCCACAUUUUAGGCUGUUAGAUUGUUCCAGAUAAGACAAGUACAAGAUUCUUCAGAGCCGUUCUACCACGAGCCUGACAGGAAGAACUCUAACAGCUACUGAAUGUUCCUGUGGUUCCCUCAAGGCUACAGGAGGAGUCCUACGAGGACGAGCCGGUCCACCUGAUGGAGGCCAGUCGCUGCAGUUCAAAGCCAACACCGACUAUGUGGACUUCUACUGGACCACACGGAGGCCUUCAAACCGGACCAACAAGUUCAGCGACUCCCCGACUCGUGGGUCUGAGGACGCCGCCAAGCCUCGGUCCAGCCGGCCUCCUGUCUGGGUGUUUGAGUGCUGAGAGACUUGACCGUGAAUACCAUUGACACCCACCUGAGGGAGACGCUGUCUAAGAUCUCAAGGCUGCUUGGUCGUGGUCUUUCUGGUCCUGCUCCAGAACGCCUUCAUCAACUACGUCUUCUAUUAAAGAGGCCCUCAGAUGCUGCAAUCUCUGACCUUAAGGAGGAACUGCUACUUUCACUCUGUAACGAGACGGUGAUUAUUUUAAAGACCCAGCUCCUGGCGGCUUUGAGUGAAAAUUUAACAUCCAUCAAAACGGAACUACAGACAGUUAAAUCUGAGCUGUCAGUCAGUAUUUCAAACAUCAAGUCCGACCCGGCUGCCCUAAAGCACGCUGUGGGUGAAACGGAAACUUCACUCUCCACAUCACCGACGACAUCGUCACACUCCAAAGCAGAGCACCUGUCUGCUGAACUUUUAAAAGUGGACUAUAAAUGUGAACAAUGUGAGCAGCAGCAGACUGUGAGCAGCAGAACAGAUGUAAUCAGAAAGAAGUCAUUUUCUUUUUUCUUUUCUUUCUGGUUGACUUGAUGCUG